CUCUCUGUAGGACAGUCUGCCUCUCUGGACGAUGAUGGUGGAAUGGAGUGAGGAGCAGAGGAGUGCAGGAGACACGGAGGCCUUGUACCAGAAACUUGUCCUCAACCCAAACCUGACAAAGACCAUGAAGGUUAAAUACCUGGACUGGACCUACCGGACUCGGGGUUACAAGAGAGCCAAGAAAGUCUUCAGCAGCUUACAUGAGAACCGCCCAUUCUCCGAGGAG